ensembl:lncRNA
GCUGACCAGAGUGCUGGGAGCGCGGAUCCCGGGCCGGGAGCGGGAAAAGAGAAACGAGAGGGGCCAGAGGGCAAAAUGGACGCAAGACAGAGAACUCAAGAGAAAAAGAAAAAGAUUCAUUGGAAAGCAGGGAAAGAGGAGAAACCUGGACAUAACUUCUGAGCCAUAUUUUUGGAACCGUGCCUCUAUUGUCUGGGCCUGCGACUCUGACGUCUACUAAAUAUGAGGAAUUAUGAAGUGAUUGUUAAAUAUUUGAACAGCUAAGGGAAACCGGAAGUAAUGAGAAACAAAACACCCUACAGAUCUGAGUCACAGGAGAUCCACUGUGGCAGGCCCUGUCAACCUCAGCUCCAGCCAUUGUUUUAUGUGUAUAUAUGCCCAGAGAAGAAGCUGUCUGUCUGAAGGUCCCAACUGCCAGCCAUUUAAACUGGGAAGAACAGAAACACAGUUGGAGAACCUCACUCUUCCACUUAGCUCUGAUCAGAAAUUGUUUUUUGCCAGGACUGAGAGGCCACUAGAAUAUCUGUAUCUAAAUGAAACUAUUGUUUUUUUGCUGGUUACUCUUUAGGUUUUAAUUUUCCACUGUUAUGUGGACGAUAUGUAAAGUUAAGAUGUAUGAUCGCGUUUUUGGGAGGAUGAGGCAGGGGAUUGUGAGUUUGAUAGCUGGAACUAGUUUACAUCUCGUUUGUUGAGACAUGGGUUCAAUCUGUAGCCUAGAUUGUCCUAGAACUUUCUGUGUAGUCCAGGCUGCUUUGAACUUAUGGAUAUCCUCUUACCUUAGCUUCUAGAAUGCUGAGAUCAUACAUGUGAGCCGUUAUGCUCUAUGUAUAUGUAUUUCUCAA